UACGUAGGUGGCAAGCGUUGUCCGGAUUUACUGGGCGUAAAGAGCGCGCAGGCGGUCGUUCAAGUCGCGUGUGAAAGCCCCCGGCUCAACUGGGGAGGGUCACGCGAUACUGAUCGACUCGAAGGCAGGAGAGGGUAGUAGAAUUCCCGGUGUAGUGGUGAAAUGCGUAGAUAUCGGGAGGAACACCAGUGGCGAAGGCAGCUUCCUGGCCCACAACUGACGCUGAGGUGCGAAAGCGUGGGGAGCGAACAGG
rnacentral:rRNA from 1 species